AAUUCGAAGCAUUUCCACUUGGCGCUGUUUCCGUUCUCUUGAUUCUUUUACCGACGAACAAUCAUCUAUAUUUGUGAUUUUGAAUGAAUUAGGUGCAUCACCUUUUUUGAAGCGUUUCUCGUGUGGUUUUACAAAGGUGAUUUAGUGAUUAUGGGUGGCGAAGAAGGUCUAGGAGUGACUACGGGUCAACCAAACCUUUAUAAACAAGAUUUGUCAAAGCUAGAUGUUAGUAAAUUAACUGCACUAUCCCGUGAGGUCAUCAGUAGACAAGCAACGAUUAAUAUUGGUACUAUUGGUCAUGUAGCACAUGGAAAGUCUACAAUUGUAAAAGCAAUAUCAGGAGUACAGACCGUUCGUUUCAAAAAUGAAUUAGAAAGAAAUAUUACUAUUAAACUUGACGCUCAUGCAGAGGACAGUACCAGAGGAGAACAAGAAGAAAAUCGUGUUUACAAGAGCAAAAUGUCUUCUACACAAGAAAAAAGACCAGCCUCUCCAGGAUUAGCUCAACCAACGACCAAACAUCAAAAGCUUGAUCAAAAAUUUAAUUCUUCUCGAGCAAAUAGUUAUAAUGAUAGUAAUGUCCAUUUUAAACAGUCUCAAGAAAUAAUCAACAAUGGAAGAGACUCCAACUAUUCCAAUAAUCAAGAAAUUGAUGUAGAAAAUAUAAGAUUAUGCAAGUCAUAUAUUAAUACUAAUAUUGAAAGGCAUCAAACAGACAAUAUAGGAAAUAUUAGAUUAAAGGAACUUAGGAUUAUAUUAGAAGAUAUAAAGCAUAUGAAUAUAAAACAUGACAAUAAAAAGAGAAUUAAAAAAUUAGUGAAGAUUACUCUUUGGGAAGUAGAAAAGAUUCUUGCAAAAAAAGUAUUAGAAGGAGUACCAACUUAUUUAAUCAAAUGGAAGAAUUGGAAUUCGGAGUAUAAUACUUGGGAACCAGCAUCAAAUCUAGUGAAUUGUGCAGAUAUUCUAAAAAAAUUUGAAAAGAAUAUAUUACAAUUAAUCGAUCGUUUCAAAAAGAAAGCAAAUUUUUAUCCAACAGAUAGUGAUAUUGAAAAAUUCAUAAAUUGUCUUAAUCAGAGAGGAGAAACUUUAACAUCUAUUUCACUAGAAACAAAUGCAAUUGGCAUUAACAUACGCAAAUAUUUCCGACAAAGAGGAAUGAAUAAUAAAUUGGAAAAAAUUAUAAAACAUGAUAUUCUUCGUAUGUUAAUUAUUGAUUCAAGGAAGAAACAAUUAGAAUAUUUGAAAGAGUGGGAAACUGAAAUGAACCUUAUCACUAAAGGUAAACCAAUAAUACAAGUGGAGAAUGUGGUAGACUUGGAAUCAGCACCUCAAGAUUUCUAUUAUAUAGAAGAUUAUUUACCUGGUAAUGGAGUUAUAAUACCUGAUGAUCCGCCUAUUGGUUGCGAAUGUAAGACUUGUAAUUCUAAAACAAAUUGUUGCUUUGCUCAUGACAAUGAAUCAUGUCCAUAUACUUCUACAUGUAAGAUUCGAGUUCCACCUGGAACACCGAUAUACGAAUGUAACAAACGUUGCAGCUGCGACAUUAACUGCUUCAAUCGAGUAGUGCAACGUGGCAGUGAGAUGAAGUUUUGCAUUUUCAGAACUGCAAAUGGGCGAGGUUGGGGUGUGAAAACUUUAAAACCGAUUAAGAAAGGCUGUUUUGUUACUCAAUAUGUGGGUGAAGUCAUAACAAAUGAAGAGGCUGAAAAGCGUGGCAAAGAAUACGAUGCCGCUGGUAGAACGUACUUGUUUGAUCUCGAUUAUAACGAGAUCGAAGGAGAAUGUCCAUAUACUGUAGAUGCCGCCGUAUAUGGUAACAUUUCUCAUUUCAUCAAUCAUUCUUGCGAUCCAAAUCUCGCAGUCUAUGGUGUUUGGAUCGAUUGUCUUGAUCCAAAUCUACCUAAACUUGCAUUGUUUGCAACAAGAGAUAUUAAACAAAAUGAAGAAAUCACUUUUGAUUACAUGUGUCAAUCUUCUAAGAAUAAUGAAAACUCUAUAAAACAAAAUAUGUCGAUGAAAGACAAUUUUAAUAUUUACAUGAAUAUUAAAUUUCAAGAGAAAUUAAAAUUACGUCCAGACACACCAGAAUCCGACUUAUCCAACAAUAAAACUUUAUGUAAAUGUGAUGCUCAAAAUUGUAGACGAUAUUUAUUUUGAAUUAUUUUCUACAAAUUUAUUGUACUAACAUACAAAUAAAAUUAUGUAAACAUUCAGUUUCAAUCAUAUCGAUAGUCUUGUAACGAACUGUGAUAUGCAAACGCAAAAAUUUAUAAAUGUGAUAAUGAGAAAUGUCCAAGGCCAGGAUGUUACAUAUCUGGAGGAUCAA